UCUCUCUCUCUCUCUCUCUCUCUCUCUCUCUCUCUGUAUACAUAUACAUGUGAGGAGGGGGAAGGGAAGAGAGAGCGAGGGAGG